GGGGAAUAUUGCACAAUGGGCGAAAGCCUGAUGCAGCAACGCCGCGUGAGUGAUGAAGGCCUUCGGGUUGUAAAGCUCUGUCUUCUGGGACGAUAAUGACGGUACCAGAGGAGGAAGCCACGGCUAACUACGUGCCAGCAGCCGCGGUAAUACGUAGGUGGCAAGCGUUGUCCGGAUUUACUGGGCGUAAAGGGCGCGUAGGCGGCGCGGUAAGUCACUUGUGAAAUCUCUGAGCUUAACUCAGAACGGCCAAGUGAUACUGCUGUGCUAGAGUGCGGAAGAGGCAACCGGAAUUCUUGGUGUAGCGGUGAAAUGCGUAGAUAUCAAGAGGAACACCUGAGGCGAAGGCGGGUUGCUGGGCCGACACUGACGCUGAUGCGCGAAAGCCAGGGGAGCAAACG
rnacentral:rRNA from 1 species